UAGGGAAUCUUCCACAAUGGACGCAAGUCUGAUGGAGCAACGCCGCGUGAGUGAAGAAGGUUUUCGGAUCGUAAAGCUCUGUUGUUGGUGAAGAAGGAUAGAGGCAGUAACUGGUCUUUAUUUGACGGUAAUCAACCAGAAAGUCACGGCUAACUACGUGCCAGCAGCCGCGGUAAUACGUAGGUGGCAAGCGUUGUCCGGAUUUAUUGGGCGUAAAGCGAGCGCAGGCGGAAUGAUAAGUCUGAUGUGAAAGCCCACGGCUCAACCGUGGAACUGCAUCGGAAACUGUCAUUCUUGAGUGCAGAAGAGGAGAGUGGAACUCCAUGUGUAGCGGUGGAAUGCGUAGAUAUAUGGAAGAACACCAGUGGCGAAGGCGGCUCUCUGGUCUGCAACUGACGCUGAGGCUCGAAAGCAUGGGUAGCGAACAGGAUUAGAUACCCUGGUAGUCCAUGCCGUAAACGAUGAGCGCUAGGUGUUGGGGACUUUCCGGU
rnacentral:rRNA from 1 species